UACGAGGGGGGCAAGCGUUGUUCGGAAUUAUUGGGCGUAAAGGGUGCGUAGGCGGUCUGACAAGUCUGAUGUGAAAUCUAUGGGCUCAACCCAUAGUCUGCAUCGGAAACUGUCGGGCUUGAGUAUGGGAGAGGUGAGUGGAAUUUCCGGUGUAGCGGUGAAAUGCGUAGAUAUCACUUGGAACGCCAAAGGUGAAGACAGUCUGCUGGGGACUUGCUGACGCUGAGACACGAAAGCCAGGGGAGCGAACGGG
rnacentral:rRNA from 1 species